rnacentral:rRNA from 1 species
GACGAACGCUGGCGGCGUGCCUAAUACAUGCAAGUUGAGCGAUGAAGCUUGGUGCUUGCGCCAAUUUGAAGAGCAGCGAACGGGUGAGUAACGCGUGGGGAAUCUGCCUUUGAGCGGGGGACAACAUUUGGAAACGAAUGCUAAUACCGCAUAACAACUUUAAACAUAAGUUUUAAGUUUGAAAGAUGCAAUUGCAUCACUCAAAGAUGAUCCCGCGUUGUAUUAGCUAGUUGGUGAGGUAAAGGCUCACCAAGGCGAUGAUACAUAGCCGACCUGAGAGGGUGAGCGGCCACAUUGGGACUGAGACACGGCCCAAACGCCUACGGGAGGCAGCAGGAGGGAAUCUUCGGCAAUGGACGAAAGUCUGACCGAGCAACGCCGCGUGAGUGAAGAAGGUUGUCGGAUCGUAAAACUCUGUUGGUAGAGAAGAACGUUGGUGAGAGUGGAAAGCUCAUCAAGUGACGGUAACUACUCAGAAAGGGACGGCUAACUACGUG